GGGAGCAUAGCUCAGCUGGUCAGAGCACCUGCCUUACAAGCAGGGGGUCACAGGUUCGAACCCUGUUGCUCCCACCA
rnacentral:tRNA from 3 species